rnacentral:rRNA from 1 species
GAUGAACGCUAGCGGCAGGCUUAAUACAUGCAAGUCGUGGGGCAGCGCAGGUAGCAAUACUGGGCGGCGACCGGCAAACGGGUGCGGAACACGUACACAACCUUCCGAGAAGUGGGGAAUAGCCCAGAGAAAUUUGGAUUAAUACCCCGUAACAUAACGAUGUGGCAUCACAUUGUGAUUAUCGCUUCGGCGCUCCUUGAUGGGGGGGCGGUUGAUUGGAGAGUUGGCGGGGUAACGGACCACCAAGUCUACGAUCAGUAGCUGAGGUGAGAGCAUGAUCAGCCACACGGGAACUGGGACCCGGGCCCGACUCCUACGGGAGGGAGCAGUAAGGAAUAUUGGUCAAUGGACGCAAGUCUGAACCAGCCAUGCCGCGUGAAGGAUUAAGGUCCGCUGGAUUGUAAACUUCUUUUAUCUGGGACGAAAAAAGGCGAUUCUUCGUCACUUGACGGCACCAGAUGAAUAAGCACCGGCUAACUCCGUGCCAGCCGCCGCAGUAAAAC